UGAAGGUGAAGGUGAAGGUGAAGGUGAGAGUGAAGGUAAAGAUGAUGGUGAAGGUGAGGGUGAAGGUGAAGGUGAUGUCGAUGGUGAAGGUGAUAGUGAAGGUGAAGGUGAAGGUGAUAGUGAAGGUGAUAGUGAAGGUGAAAGUGAUAGUGAGCAUAAAAAAAAAAAUGUAAGUAAAGAGCAAGCAGAAGACGGAAGUAAGGUCAAAAGUGAAGACAUGAGUGGAGAUAUACUGACUAGUGCCGACACAAGCAAAAACAACAUGAUCAUCGAAAAAAAAAUAUACGACUAUUCCAAAUGUUUUAAAGAGACGUGCGAAAUAAACAAAGGCCAUAACAUGUCAGUUAUUUUUUUAAAUUUAUCACAAAACAACGACUUAUUAUUAUCAAUAUGCAAAAAGUAUGUAAAAAUAUGGAACAUGCAUAAUCUUCAAAAUAUAAUAACAAUAAGUAUAGAAAAAUGUAUAAGUGGUUUCUUUUGCCAUAACGAUGAAUAUAUAAUUUUAGGAGAUGAAUUAGGUUACAUAUUUUUAUAUAAUUUAAAAGAUAUUGAAUUGAAGUAUUCAUAUAAAGCACAUGCAAUGAAAAUUGUUAGUAUGUGUCCGUGUCCGUGUCCGUGUCCGUCUCCGUCUCCGUCUCCAGGUCUAGGUCCAGGCCAUAGUAGAGCAUGUUUUCUAUCAGUUGGAGAAGAAAAGUAUUUAAAACUUUUUAACUUUACAAUGGAAGCAAGUAACUCAGAUGGUUAUAACAGUAGUGAUGAUGAAGGUGAGGAUGUUCAGGUAGAACGAGCGGACGUCCGAAACAGGAUGAUCAAACAAAACGACGAAAAUAUAUUAACUGGUAAAGAAACAGAUCGAAUAAAUAACAAUUUUAAUAGUAAUAAAAAAAGGAGAACAGAUAAUAAUAGUGGUUUUUUUGUGGAAAAUGAUGAUGUGCGUAAAAGUGGACAAAAAAAUGGACAAAAAAAUGGACAAAAAAAUGGAGAAAAAAAUGAACAAAAAAAUGGAGAAAAAAAUGGACAAAAAAAUGAACAAAAAAAUGGACAAAGGAGUGGUAUCAGUACCGAAAGUAAUGGAAAAUCGUGGGUUCUAAGAAAAGAAGAAUUAAGUAGUGAUGAAUGUAACAGCGAUACUACUGCAAGUAGCAAUUAUCACAAGGAUACGGAUAAACAGCUAAAACUAAAGUUUAAAGAAAUGCAAUACUAUGAAGUAACAGACAAAGUGAGUUGUGCGAUAUAUUCACCUAACGGUAAAUAUAUAUGCAUAGGAUAUUUAAAUAACUUAAUAGAAGUAUUGUAUAGUGAUACCUUAAAAAUACAUUUAACUUUGUAUGGUCAUAGUUUACCUAUAACAUGUAUAGACAUAUCAAGUGAUAACAAGGUAUUAG
rnacentral:lncRNA from 1 species